rnacentral:rRNA from 1 species
AUUGAACGCUGGCGGCAGGCCUAACACAUGCAAGUCGAGCGGAGUGGCGAACGGGUGAGUAACACGUGGUGACCUGCCCUGCACUUCGGGAUAAGCCUGGGAAACUGGGUCUAAUACCGGAUAGUGUGGGAUGGGCCCGCGGCCUAUGAGCUUGUUGGUGGGGUAAAGGCUCACCUAGGCGACGAUCUCUCGCUGGUCUGAGAGGAGGCUCAGCCACACUGGGACUGAGAGACGGCCCAGACUGCUACGGGAGGCAGCAGUGGGGAAUAUGGCACAAUGGGCGGAAGCCUGAUGCAGCGACGCCGCGUGGGGGAUGACGGCCUUCGGGUUGUAAACUCCUUUCACCAUCGACGCGGUAGAUGGAGAAGAAGCACCGGCUAACUACGUGCCAGCAGCCGCGGUAAUAC